rnacentral:rRNA from 1 species
GUGAAAUACCACUCUGGUCGUUUUGAGCGUCUAACCCGCACCCGUGUAUCCGGGUGGGGGACAGUGCCUGGUGGGUAGUUUAACUGGGGCGGUUGCCUCCUAAAGUGUAACGGAGGCGCCCAAAGGUUCCCUCAGCCUGGUUGGCAAUCAGGUGGCGAGUGCAAGGGCACAAGGGAGCUUGACUGUGAGACGGACGUGUCGAGCAGGUGCGAAAGCAGGGCCUAGUGAUCCGGCACCUACGUGUGGAAGUGGUGUCGCUCAACGGCUAAAAGGUACCCCGGGGAUAACAGGCUGAUCUUCCCCAAGAGUCCAUAUCGACGGGAUGGUUUGGCACCUCGAUGUCGGCUCGUCGCAUCCUGGGGCUGGAGUAGGUCCCAAGGGUUGGGCUGUUCGCCCAUUAAAGCGGCACGCGAGCUGGGUUUAGAACGUCGCGAGACAGUUCGGUCCCUAUCCGCUGCGCGCGUAGGAGAAUUGUGAGGGUCUGUCCCUAGUACGAGAGGACCGGGACGGACGGACCUCUGGUGUGCCAGUUGUCCCGCCAGGGGCACGGCUGGUUGGCUACGUUCGGUCGGGAUAACCGCUGAAAGCAUCUAAGCGGGAAGCCUUCCUCGAGAUGAGUUCUCCCACCCCUUUGUGGGUGUAAGGCCCCCGGUAGACGACCGGGUUGAUAGGCCGGAGAUGGAAGCGCGGUAACGUGUGGAGUCGACCGGUACUAAUAGGCCGAGUGGCUUGAACACAC